rnacentral:rRNA from 1 species
UACGUAGGUCCCGAGCGUUAUCCGGAUUUAUUGGGCGUAAAGCGAGCGCAGGUGGUUUAUUAAGUCUGGUGUAAAAGGCAGUGGCUCAACCAUUGUAUGCAUUGGAAACUGGUAGACUUGAGUGCAGGAGAGGAGAGUGGAAUUCCAUGUGUAGCGGUGAAAUGCGUAGAUAUACGGAGGAACACCGGUGGCGAAAGCGGCUCUCUGGCCUGUAACUGACACUGAGGCUCGAAAGCGUGGGGAGCAAACAGG